UAAUGAAAGACUGUCAGGAAGUUAUUUGUAAAGGGCAAAGGCACAAGCCUAAGCUGAACACUCAUGAUCUACGAUCCCUCAGAUGACACUGCAUCA